rnacentral:rRNA from 1 species
UACGUAGGGUGCGAGCGUUUGUCCGGAAUUAUUGGGCGUAAAGGGCUCGUAGGCGGUUUGUCGCGUCGGGAGUGAAAUCCACUGGCUUAACUGGUGGCUUGCUUUCGAUACGGGCAGACUGGAGGUAUGCAGGGGAGAACGGAAUUCCUGGUGUAGCGGUGAAAUGCGCAGAUAUCAGGAGGAACACCGAUGGCGAAGGCAGAUCUCUGGGCCGUAACUGGACGCUGAGGAGCGAAAGCGUGGGGAGCGAACAGG